UAAAAUAUACCUUAUACAUUAAGGUAUAGCGUUAGUAUUAUAUGUGCUAUACUCAAUAUUUGAACAAAUUUACUCUAUAGCACAUUGAGAGUAGUACUAGGAUGGGUGACCCCCUGGCAAGUCCUCGUGUUGCAUACCUCUUUAGAUCUAAGACAGAGUACCUGGAGUGCAAGUUUAGCGCCGAGCCGAACGAAGUAGGCAGGGACGUGAUGAUUGAUCUCAGGUCAUCGCCAAGAGGGACAGUGUCAGAUAUCUUGGAUCGGUGAUUCAGGGGGACGGAGAGAUUGACGGGGACGUCACUCUCUAAUGUCAGAUAUCUUGGGUCGGUGAUUUAGGGAGAUGGAGAGAUUGAUGGGGACGUCACUCACCGUAUAGGAGCGGGGUAGUCAAAGUGGAGGCUUGCAUCAGGAGUCCUGUAGGACAAGAAAGUUCCACAUAAACUCAAGGGGAAAUUUUAUAGAGCUGUGGUUAGACAGCCAUGUUGUAUGGGGCGGAGUGCUGGACAGUGAAGAACUCUCAUGUUCAGAGGAUGAAGGUUGCGGAGAUGAAGAUGCUCAGGUGGAUGUGUGGACUCACUACGUUAGAAAAGAUUAAGAAUGAAGUUAUUCGAGAGAAGGUGGGGGUGGCCCCGGUUGAUGAGAACAUGCGAGAAGCGAGGCUGAGGUGGUUCGGGCAUGUACGGAGGAGAAGUUCUGAUGCCCCGGUGAGGAGUUGUGAGCGGCUGGCGAUGCUCGGGUACGGCGAGGCAGAGGGAGGCCUAAAAGGUAUUGGGGAGAGGUGAUUAGGAAUGACAUGGCUAGAAUGCGGGUUUCUGAGGACAUGGCCCUUGAUAGGAAAGUCUGGAGGUCUAGUAUCAGGGAUAAAAGACAUAGAUGAAACAUGGAAUAAGGAAACACAUCUUUAAAUCUAAAUAACUUUGUAAAUUUAGAAACAUUUAUAAUGUCAUGAACGUGCAUAUAAAUAUCGUCACAUGCAUAGGUAUGAGUGUACAUAAUAUCAUCAAGCUACUGAGGGAAUCCUAUCAUAUCAUCUCAACCACUAUGGGUAACAUCAUCAACAUAUACUAGAUGAUUAGGUGGUGGUGCAUAUAUAACGUCGUAACUUUUUCCCAUAUUCCCUACACAUGUAAUUACACAUAUACGCGUAUGUAACUCCAUCUGGUCAUGGAUCACUGCACAUGUAUAAAUGAGUGAAAUGCAUGAAAAAUACGUAAUAAUAUCAAUAUUUCUUACGGAUAAACUUAUUCAACUGUUUAUUGUUUUGAGACUCAUGAAUAAAAGAUAAUAGUAAUUCCUUUGGGGGCCUCUCUACCCUUUCGGGUAGGGGUGAGGCUCGUCUACAUAUUACCCUCCCCAGACCCCACUUUGUGGGACAUUACUGGGUAGUUGUUGUUGUUGUAUAGCGCAUUUAAUACAUGUCCUAUAUAUACAGUGCAUAAAUUACGCGCUAUACUGAACUAUUGCCAUCCCUAACCAUUGAAUAGCUACUUACUUAAUGCAAAUAUUCAUGAGAAAACUAAUCUCUAUAGCCCCUCAAAAUUUUAGUUUAUGUUUUGUACCACUUACAAAAAAUAGUCCUUCGGCCCAAACAAAUCGCAUAUAGUAGCCGAAAGGAAUGAGCAUGACAAUACAAGUGCUUGUAGCUCAGUGGAUAGGGUGUGUAUUUCCUAAGCUGAAGGUCGCACGUUUGACUCCUACCUGGCGCAACAGAGCAACCCUUUUUUGCCUUUUUAAAUUGUAUUUUGUACUUCUGGAUUCUAAUAAUAUUAGCUAAGAAUUGAAUGGAAUAUGUAAUGCAUGUUAUAUAUGAUAUGUCUUUUGUAUAUUUUAUGUAUAAUAACCUUCUAUUUUUGUAUAUUUCUUGCAUAGUGACAGUCUAUUUUGUAUAGUUUUUAUAUAGUAACAGUCUAUUUUGCAUAGUGACAUUCUAUUUUGUAUGAUAAUGGUCUUUUUGUAUACCGUCAAUCUAUUUUUUAAAUAUUUUUUGCAUAGUAACAAUCAGUUUUGUAUAUUUUUGUAUAGUGACAGACUAUUUUAUAUAUUUUCCGUAUAAUAAAAGUCUAUUUGUGAGUGUGUAUAUAUAUUGUAUACAAAUUGUAUAAUGAUAGUCUAUUUUGUAUAAUUUUUGUAUAGUGACAGUCUAUUUGUAUAUAUUUAAACUUUGUGCAUAAUUAUCUCCUCUCAUUAAGAGACCAGCCACCGGUAUCCAUAGCAUCACAGUUGACGAAAAUGGUAAUAAGAUCGCCGGAUUUUUAAAGUUUCAGGAAAAGAUCUUCAAAAUAUUAAUUUCAUAUUCAUAGAAACUAUAAGAGAAAAUUAGUGGAAGAAGACAAGGCCAUGAGAGUCGUGGUUGGCAGAGUUGCUUCUUCAAUGACGAGGACAUCGGCAUCCAUGGCUUUACAAUCGCCAAAAAUGGUAACCACAAUAUUAUAAAAACAGUAAAAUUGUAAAUCAAUCAAUUAAUUAUGUCACAAAGCACAAACUAAUGGAGAUUUAGAAAAACCAGUACAAAUUAAAAUUGAAAAAAAAACACAUAUCAUCAGAUCCGACAUAGUAUUCUUCAAAAUACAACAUUCUCAUGGCUCAUAAGCAUUUCAAAUGUGUGGUCCACAAUACGAUGCAUGUUGUCUUAUCCAUAAUAGAUUUGUGAUCAUAAGUUUGUGAUAGCAAUAAAUUGGGGUCAUAGCAUAUUUGUAUUCAAAACCCAAAUAUAGCCCAAAAUCAUGAAUUGCAAACAAGAAUUAAAAUAUAAGAUGAAAUUUACAAUGGCUUUCAGAUUUUUGAGACCUGAAUAAAGGAUCCAAACCCCAAAAUACAAGAAAAACCAAAGAGGCUUUUUAAAGAGAGAGAGAGAGAGAGAGAGAGAGAGAGAGAGAGAGAGAGAGAAGAGAAAAGCGUCCAUGGAACCACAACCACGGGUUGCUAGCGUGAGAGAGAAGAAACAAGACAGUAAGGAAGAAAGAUAGGGAUGGAAGGCGGCGGCUAGCACUUAUCAUUAUAUUUAGGUUAUAAUUUAUAUGGGUCAAUUUGUGGGCUACCUGUUGAAAUUUUUUUUGCUCGAUGGACUAUAAAUGAAGUAAACAACCCUCUGUAGCCCCUCAAAUUUUUAAUAGCCCAUGUUUUGUACCACUUACAAAAAUUCGGCCCAAACAUAUUGCAUAUAGUAGCCCUCUAUGGAACCACAACCAUGGUUUGUUGGCGUGAGAGAAAAGAAGAAAUAUAAUAAGGAAGAAAGAUAGGGAUGGGAGGCGACGACUAACACUUGUCAUUAUUUUUAGGCUAUAACUUGUAUGGGUCAAUUUGUGGGCUACCAGUUGAAAUUUAUUUUGUCAGAUAGGCUAUAAAUGAAAUUCUUUCAACAUUCAUUCUUGAAAAGUUAUUCUUGAGUGAAUUGAGCCAAUUCACCUUUGUUCUCCGGCAUCCUAUAUACAUCACUUCAUCUUCAAUAUAUGCAUUUUUUCUUUGAAUCUUGCUAUAAUGUUUGACGAACGAAAAAUUAGGAUUGCAUUAUUGUGCGGUGAGAUUGUGGUGGAGAAUAACUCAAUACACUAUUGUUGUUCUCCACAUUGUAUUAUUAAGAUGCCACUCACAUUGGAGUACGACAAUUUAGUAUCACGGAUUUGUAAAAGAAUGAGUGUGAGUAAACGUUCGAUUAGUUUUAAGGUAACUGAAAAUAUAUGUAUUUGCUUACUCUUGUCAUACCGAGCUUAUACGUGCGACCUAAAAGGCAAUAGUUGUAAUCGACCAACUCCACUAAUCGCAGUCUCCUCGACCGGAAAGAAUCUUGUGAGCCUCUCCAGCAUUUCUAGACAGUCAUGCCUCAACUACUCUAUAAUCGCAAGCGUGUAGUGGACAACAAGACCACCAACGAGAAACCCAAACAAAACCUCCAUGUCCUGUAGUGUGAUGGUGGCCUCCAUGGUAGACAAAUGAAAUGUGUGCGUCUCUGGCCUCCAACACUCGAUCAUCACCGUGAUCAAAGGCCAAUUGAAUUGCAGCAGGCCGACCUUGACAACUCGAUAAAAACCAGUUUGGGUGGGGCACACAACUGUGCUGAUGUAGUGGGUGAUCCUUAAUAAAUUCUUAGAAGUCAUCAAUAUGUCUUGGGUGGAAGAUUUGGCUUUCCCAUCGAGAUGAGUUUAAAUGGUUGAACCAUCAUGUUGAUUUCUAUCAUGCAAUCCGUCUACGGGCUCGUUGUUGUUGUUUGGCCCAACAUUGAGUGAGUUGUUGACAUCAUUGGAUGCCAUAACUGUUUUAUGCUUACCACAGAAAAACUUCAAAAUAUGUUAGUAAAAGAUGAACAGAUCAAAAUAAUACUACAAUUGUCUAAGCCUCACAUAAGGGCACCAAACUGUUUACCUGUAAAACGGUAGAGUUUAAUUUGUAACAUGGAUAGACACGUGGAUUAAAUUGAUUUGAUAAAAUAAUGCAAUGAAGAACAAAGUGAUUAAAAUAAGGAGAACUGAAGAAAAGAGAAGCCUGAGCUUCAGAAUGUUCCCACCAGAAUCAAGAAUAAUUAAAAAUUUUUUGACUAUACUUGUGUAAAACUUGAGAGAAAGAAUACUAGUCUUUUGCAAUCAGUAUUUCUUGAUGUCUUACAAUGGGAUAAAAGCCUUCAUUUAUACUAGAGUUAUGGGGUGUAUGAUCUACAAAUUAUGCCCCCUUAGUCACCAAUAUUAAUGUUGCAAUAAAAGAUAAUUAAAAGGUGAUAAAAAUGAUAAAAGAUAAUAAAGCCCGGAGGAAUCUUGAGACUUUUGUAAUAUUUCUAUAACGGUCAUAUCUUGAAUUGUUUUUUGUCCAGUCACAAGUUCGUAUCUGGUGUCACCCUAGUUGAGCAACUACUGAUUGAUCAUCCUUAACACGUGUUCGCUUCCUAAUUCACCAAACUUCUGAGACCCGUUUUCACUGUAUGCAAUUUAAUACCUAGAGUUCAAUAUUUUACACAAGAUUCAACUUGGGUUAACUUAUUGCUUUACGGGAAAAAUAACAUUUAAAAGACCAAAACAAUCUUGAUUUCGUAUUUCCAUUUUUUAUUUACUGUAACAAGGGUAAAUUUGUGAAAUUUUGUAUUAUACACACUUACACAGUACAUCCAGCCUUUGAUGCAAUGAACUAAACAUCCGCUAAAUCAUUAGCACUAAGUAAUCCAGUGAUUAAUCCCCAUAUCACAACUCAACUGUGAACUCUGCAUAACUUUGUCAGCGAACCAAACAUCACUCUCCUUAGUGUCUGCCUCCCCAGCUUAGUGGGACACACGGGAGACCAUCAAUGCCAGACAUUAUAUACUGGCAUAACUUGCUCAUAUAGCAAAACAACCUGAUGCCACAAUGAAAGAGAAGCAGCACAUUGCGAUAGUUGCAGGACGAAAAUGGCCAUAACAAGAAAUCAAGAAUCAUUACUCUAAGGUGAAGGAUUACCGCGUGGUUAAUGCCCUCUUGAUUUAUCAGUAGUGUAUUCUGACUCCCUUGUGCAGAUAACCAAAAAAUCAACAUAACUCCUCCUGCUAUGGACUAUAAGCUUGUGGGAUCCUCAAAGUAGUCCUCACAAAGUGCUAAACUAAAGCAACUACAAAGCCCAUUUCUCCACCUCUUACAUCUUGUGUACUUAACGUGUUUGGACAUUCGAGUUAUAGGGUAACACCUCACACUUCGACAGUCAUCGUCUGUACAGAAUAUUACAACAAGACUUCAACAUGCCCAUUCUCAUCUGCCGGCAAGAUUAUAUAAUCAUAUAAAAAAGAAAGUGCUACCAUCUUUCGUCUCCAACCCAAUUGUUCUUCUCCUUUGGCCCAGUAGGGCCUUCCUCCUUAAACAAUUCCACUGGCAACUUACUAAAAAUAUUCUGCACUGAAUUUCGGACCAUCACUGGCAAGCGAUCUACAAUUUUCUCAAGCUCCUUUCUUGCGUCGUAAAUAAUGGUUGGACCCCACUCUCUCAUAUAUUGUAACCAACAUGGCUCACUGAUAGCUCCAUGUCCGAGAUACUCUGCUGCCAUAAUUUCAUAUUGGGUACUAGAAUCCACGAAAAGAUUACUACGGGCAGCAUCAUUUCUAAUUCCAAUCCCUACCUUUGAGGACCCUUGCAUGUAAUUUCCAGGAUGCGGAAAGCUAGCAUGACCAUUUUUUGAUGAAUAAACAGUAGCUUUAUUUCCUGCAAUAAACUCCAAAUCAUAAGCAUCCACCCAUUCACCACCGCUGUGCUGAGAAAAAUAGAUACUCCACAGCUCCCCUGUGAAAUUACUCACUCGAAGAGUGAAAUGCUCCCAGUCACCCACAUGCUGACCAAUUUUGCUAAGAGGAACAUUCACUAGGCCUACCUUCAGAGUGGCUGGCCCAUUGAAGGGGCAAAAUAUCCACAUCGCUAUAUCUGUGAAAGUUCCACCUAAGGCUGGCUUCACAUGAACAUAAAGUUUUGCACUCUGUAAAUUUCCAAACUUGACAAUCUCCUUUCGAACAUCGCUUGGCAAAUCAAUCCAAUAUUGGCCAUCAUUUGUCCCACCACCAGGUAAAUUGGAUCCGUCAGGCUCGAUAGGCUUAACAACUGAAUCACCUCUCGUGUAGAGCAAUGCACCGUUGUCAAAGAACCAUUGUACAGAAGAUGGAAGAUAGACCUCGUCUGGAUGGAAAAAUAAAGUAGGACCAUAGUGCCUAAUGAUCGCAUGAAUCUGAUCAAGGUUUGGCAUUGCUUGUAAACUCAUAUCAAAGCUCUUUAAGCAUGCAAUGCUUAGCUCUUCCCCCGUGCUCCAAUAACAACUGCAGAAAAAGGUACCAGCUGAUAUACCUUUCCCAUGCAUUCCUCUAUGCCGCGGUCUUAUGCUCCAAACUGCCAGUACUUCUGAAAGCACAGAGCUGGUUUUGAGUAUCAGGCGGUGAGUUUCACAUUCCUCAGUGAGGUCAGCUCGAACACAUUUAACUUCCCCUAGCUCAGGUUUAACAGGCUUAUUAGUCGCAAUGAACCCCAAGGCUUUAUAACCUUCAGGUGGUUGGGGUAACCAGAAGUAACCAGAUCCAUCAAAGUUUUCUUCACUUCCAACAUCAGUACUACUCCACACUAACGUGUAAUCUAGGGGAUCCUGAAGUGCAGGUAAACAAGGAUUUCCGUUGCAAUGAUCCCCUGCCUCAGGUUUAGCCACUUCCCGAGCAACAAGUACAUAUCCUCGUACAGGCUUGUUGUUAGGUUGGCAGUAGUGCCCAAGGCUAAAAAAUCCAUCUGGCACCCCCCUUGGUUUAUAAAAGCUAACACCCUGUUUCCGGUCUUGUGACAGAUUACAACCACAGACAAACUCAAACUUGCUAAUUUUAUGAACCUCCAAGUCCCCUAGUUUAAUUAUUCCACUAGCAAAUCCUGUAGCUGAACAUUCUAAGACAGAAAACGGAAGACAAAUUUGCAUUAGAAGUGUUCUUUUCUUAAUUUAUGUAGAAGCCAGGAAAUGAUAUAGGUUCUUAUGCAAUCCACUAACAUGAUUCUUACAGUCAAUUGAGGUAGAAGUUAAUUGCACGACCCAUAAACAGAUGCAUUAUAUCAUGUGACUCUGAAAACUAAUGCAAGUCCAAGAACAUAUAAUAUCUUCUCCCAGAAUAAGAAAGAAAUAGAAUAAGUAAUUCUUAAUUUUAACAACAUCCUGAUUUUAUAGUCAGAACUUAAUCAUGAAGAAAACUAGGUGCAUUGGAUAAAUAUUGAAACCAGUAACAUAUAAGAUUUUGUUGAUCAAACAAACCAUGCGGAACAAAUUAUUAUUAUUUUUAUUUUCCAGCUCAUUAUCUCGCUAUUGGUGAAUGCUGAUCAAUCAAAGAACUUCAGCAACAUCUUCCCAAACUAAGCAUACUUCAUUGACAGCUCUAGGUAUUAAAAAACUUGUAGGACCCUUUUAAGAGGGGAAAAUAGGAUAAAACAUGAAGCCAUGGCAUGAAAGAAACUACCAGUUAAGCAUGCGGCACACUCAAUAACAUGCUUGGAAAUUACAAUAAAGACUACAUUCUUUUCUUUACCAUGCUAAAAGAAUCAAAUGUUGCAACAACCUCAUGCAGCUUUAGCAUAUACUAUUCUUCUAUUGAACAGUACAGAAACAUAUCUAAAGUUGAUCAUUGCGAGCCAGUAAACCACACUGUAAAUAAGAACCUCGUGGAAUGCUGAGCCUAUUAGCUGAAGCUAAGAUAAAAAGAUAAAAGAUCUAAUACAUAAUCACGUUAUCGCAGCAUCCACUAAAAGCCCCUCUGGUAUUGAUGUGUAAUUUCUAAUGAACAAAAAGAUAUGUUCUUCUUUCCUUGUUUUCAAUGCAAAGUAGGCAUACAAAUUAUUGAAAGCAAUGGUCACAUAACAAAAGAUUAAACCCCACAUCUUAGAUCAAAAGUGCAGUUAUCCAGAAGGUUUAUAAGCAUUUUGUCAAAUCAAAAUGACUCCUUUAUCUAGAUUGCAUAUAUAGAUUAUCAGCAUAAAAACAGUCAAACUAUGAUUCAAUUAUGGCGCAGUUGAUUGAUUGAAUUGAACUUUAAAGUGGCUAUUUUACAACAAAGUUCUAAAAAUAACAAUUGACAGCCAAAAGAAACAUCAACAGGGAUUCCCAAUUGGCAUACCUUGAGGCCAUUGCGGGAGGGGUGCAGGCAGAAGAAAUGUGUCAGGUUCUGGAGAAGAGAGAUCUGAAAUUCUGCUCCAACGGAAGCAUUUGCACCCAAACAUAUUGCAGCCCAACGCACCCACCCCCUCUUUUUCUUUUCUUCUCAAUUCUCUCCCAACACCUAUUCAAAAUUAAGUGUUUUCUCCCGAUUUAGGUGAGUGCAUCUGUAUAAAGAUCAGUUUUUUAGAAUACCCAAUUGUUGUGGGAUAAAUCUUUAUGCAUUUAAUUAGUAGAAUAUUGUUUCUGGGAAUCAAUAGUUCCGUGUCUUUCUGUUACCGUGGGAUGUAGGAAAGAGAUUGGACGAUGAAUGACGACGUCAACUGUUGUUUUCAGAGUCCUCACCACUCGCCACCAUUUAAUAGGUUAUGGGUCCGCCUUAGUCAUUUAGAUCUAAUAUAGCAAGCUGGAUUCCCUCUGGGCCCACCUAGAGUUCAAUAUUCUUUAUUUCAUUCUAUGUUGCAGUUUGUUAUGGUAAAAACUAAAAACUUAAUGGUACAUAAUAUUUAUAUUAAAUUACUUAUUAUAAUAUAUAUAUAUAUAUAUAUAUAUAUAUAUAUAUAUAUAUAUAUAUAUAUAUAUAUAUAUAUUUGUUUCAGUACAUUACGGAUUGCUUUGAUAGCUUAAACAGCGUUAAAGAUCUGAACCAUUAUUUUAUCCCAUGUUUUACACAUUUAGCUAUUUCCUUAUUUAUUUUCUAUUCAAUGUUCAAUAUUUAUUUUAGGAUUCCACUCAUCCAGAUCAUUCACAGCGGAGAAUUUUACUUUGGGAAAUAUAACACCCGUUUACCAAAAAGAGUUUCAUUCUCGGAACUCGAACGCGAGAUCUGACUAAGAAUGGAAGGGUAUAUACAUCCAGAGACGGACACAAGAAAGAAUAGAAGGGUAUAUACAUCCAGAGACGGACACAAGAUUUAAUGAUCACGGGCAGGGGCGGAUCUAUCAUAUUUUACAUGGUUCACGUGAACCCGUAGUCCUCGGGUUAAAGUAUAGAUAUGAUGUACAUAAUUUAGCAAGAUAUAUAUAUAGAUAUAUAUAUAUAUAUAUAUAUAUAUAUACACACACUUGAUUGGUUUGAAAUGGUUUAAUAAAAGAAUCGGAAUCAGUAGUUUUAGGUAUAGUCACUGCCCCUGAAUUAAUCAACCAAGUAGAAGUUGAAGUUCAAUUGGAAUCUAUAUAGUCUAGUAGUUGUUUACAUCUAUGUCUGGGUUGCUGCCGUACUCAAAGGCGAGGGGCUACAGCCACAAAGGCCUUUGGUGGUCUUAUUGGCGCAUACCACGGUGGGGUCUUCGACCGGAGUGGACCGUUCGGAAGACGGAGGGCCUUAGAAACCCAAGAAGAAAAAACGCCAAUAUAGAAACAACAACUAAGAGGUAAGAGAGUGCCAUCUGCAAUGUUAACAGAAUCUUUGAUAGUAAAGGAGGCAGAUAAAAAGCCACUUAUUAACAGUUGAGGUAGGAGAUCCAGUUAAUGAAAUGGCACCAAAAUGUAUCAGGGCUGAAGUGAUUCGCCGAAGCGACAGAGAAAUAAGUUGUCCCCCCUUCUCUACCGCCGCCGCAUAUAUAGAAAAAUAAGGAGCGAAGAAGGAAGAACAAUUGCUUGACUGAUUGAUGGGACUUCUGUCUGAAAUCCCUUGACCUAACCUCUCCGUGACUUGCCGCAGCCAAGUCUUCCCCAACCUCUCCUGAUGUUCUUGGCAGUCGACCUUCCGGCUUUGUCCGUCGACAACUAAAUAUUUCGAUCUGGUUCGAUUCAUGAUCGCAUCUGCAAACCUUCUUGGAUGAGGGUUGUUUACCCGGGUGACUGGUCUCAUAGUUGUGAACUAUCAUCUUCCUUUUACAGCCAGAUAACUGGCAGAUAAGGCCCCAUGAAUUCCUAGACACAAAGAGAGGGUACGAGCUAAUCUUUUACUGGAGGGAAAGCUAGUAAAAAGCAUAGAGCGUGCGUGCUACGCUCUCGCCCUCCUUCCAUCCGCGAAAAUGAGGCGGGAGAAAAAGCGUAAGUCUAAGCUUUUUUAUUUCUGAUUUGAAUUUGAGAGGUAGAUGUUCAAGCCUUUACCAGGAUUUUCUAAGCUAUUUCGUUGACAACUGAUUCAAUUCAGAUCCUGCUCCUUUACAAUUUUUGGCCCCAUAUUUUUUGUGUGCCAUGGGACACCCCAUCUUCCGCAUAUCUUGCUCAUCCGACAUGGCAUGAAUCAUCGAACCUGCACUCAUGAAUAGUAAUGGUUUGAAAAAUGCCUUCUUGUAUUGACUAGCUCUUAGGCUACCGUUGACCGAGCCCUGCUUUGGUAUCUGGUUUAAUGGUUGUACAUGCUAAAAAUCUGGUACAUCCCGUUUUGUUUCUCAUCCCAGAUUUCACCGGCGUACCUGAGCACUCAUGCCUGCAGACCCCUCGAUUCUCUUUCUAUGACUACUGUGGAAAAGAAAGUCUCACUACUCAAUGGCUUUCGAUCAAAGCUUCUACAAAAAAGCUUCCCCCCCAUGUAGUUGUCGACCUUCCCCAGCCCCCCUCGUCUACGCUUUUAGAAACCUUACCUUAAAUGUGUCAAAUUUGAAGUAUCUCAUUAACAACCGCCACCCACAUGGUUUAGCUAAUUCAAUAGCCUUCGGAGAAAGGCGACAAGUACCACUGGACAAGCAGCAAUCAGGUAAUCGACCAAGUAAUCCACAUACAUGAUAAAAGAGCAUUACAACCCUAGUGUACUUAGUCGCAGCAGGAGAAGAACCACUAAACCUCUGAGAUCACUCGACCCCGAUGGGUCAAUCUCUUGUCAUUGCUAUUUCGUGCGCGAAGGGUUGCUCAUGCUUCCUAAACGUCACACAUUUUUUAUGCCAUUAGUCAACAGCUCCCUGUACAACGAAAUUGGGAUGACUUCACAUAGUUUCAUGACACGCCUAUCUUUGUUUUAGGGAAAUCCUCUCCCGGUUCAGGCGGAUGUCGCACCUUGCGCUUGUGAAUGAGGGUGGUUCACAAUUUCUUUGUUGAAUGCGUUGUUAAGCCCUACGUUUUUAUUCCAAUUUAAUUGCCCUUAUUCCGAAAGUCUAAAGUCCUUCAAAUUUUUACCAAUUCCGAGCUAUGCUUUUCAUGUUACCUUUAGCGGAAAACAUAAUGGACAAAUAAGGGAUAGGCAAGAAUCUGUUCUUGAACUCUAGAGAACAGGCGGAAGGAGGUUCACUAGAGCGAUAGGGAAAGCUUAUAGAGGGGUGGUCUUACUACGACAAAUAAAGUCAGGGUUCCCUUUGUUCGGUGUCCGGGGAAGAAAAAGGAAUCUAUUCGGGAAACGCUUACCAACCCCUUUAAUGAUACCAAGGGGAAGCAGGAAUUAGACCAAUAGGGUACUCCGCUCCGCCUAUCGUAACAAAAACAAAAGUCUCGUUCCCGCGGUUAAAACAAGACUUAUGGAUAACAACCAGACAUUACCAGGGACAGGGACCAGACUGUAGAGCUUAAAGGCUUAAUCUUGUUCCAGUUCCCAAGCGUUAUACCUUUCUUAUGGAAUGAUUCCAUUAUGGGAUUCCGCGCUUCGAAAAGUCUUUUUUGAUAUGUCUGUAAUAGCCUAUGUGUCCCAAAAAAGAACGUCCUACGCCCGACCCCCUUUUCAGUAGAUGAGAUAAUGAUGAAAGGGCUUUCUUUCAUUAACAUUCAGGAAGGUGCAUAGCUUCUUUGAAUGUCCCGCUGAUUGACUACUACAUCUAGGGACGGGACUAAUCCCGAAAGAGAGGUCUUUCUUUAUGGUUAUGAAAUUGAUUUGAUUGAAAAGCAAGUUGAUGAUACCAUAAAUCAAACGGGCGAGUGGGGCGAGAGUCCUUUACUUCACUCACUAGAGAGAGGGUAAUGUAUCCACGGCGAUCAAAACUCUUCCUUCUCUACUUCAAUGUCAAUUGAUUGGCGCAUUAACGAAGCUGUAACGGAGCAUGUAUGCGAUGCCAAAGCAGUAGCCUUUCUUUUAUGCGGGAUUACCUGUUUAUGCAAGGAAUAAGGACCGGCUUGAUGCUAAGAAGAAGCUGAUAGAGGAAUAACACCAGCUAAAUCAUCUACUGCAUAGUAAUACGUAUUAGGCAAAUGGGAUUUUUCUUUUCUAGGCUGAGGAGCGUAGUCAGAGGUCUUUGGUGCCUGAAUGCUUGACUUAGAGCUUGAACUAGGGGCAAUCCAGCAACCAUUUCAACUGGAUACCAUCAAGAGGGCAAGAGAGGAGGAGCCGAUGAAAUUCUUUCGGAGUUCUUCCCCGCUGACGUCUAAGCUCUCAAGGACUCGGAUUAGUCAACAGGAAUGAAAUCUAAGAAAGCUGGUAGCUCGAGCGAGGAGCGGAGCCUAGCCCUGGGAAAUUCAGCAACCAUUUCAACUGGAUACCAUCAAGAGGGCAAGAGGGAGGAACCGAUGAAAUUCUUUCGGAGUUCUUCCCCACUGACAUCUAAGCUCUCGAGGACUCGGAUUAGUCAAUAUGAAUGAAAUAUGAGAAAGCUAGUAGCUCGAUAGAGGAUCGGAGCCUAGCCCUAUAGUUAUAGGUUAUAUAAUAUUCUAUUUCCUCUGCUUUGAAUAGUUAGAACCAAACUCAUUGCUCAUUCAUUAAGAGCUCUUGUAGGUAAAGUAGACUAGAUCGAUCGAGAGAGAGAGAGCGAAUUGGCUUAUCGAGAAUCUGCUGGAGUCAGAUUAGUAUGGGAGUUCACAUCGGGACUUUCUUAAUAGAGAAAGAACCCAUACCCUGAACCGAGGAAAGGCGAUAACGACCCUUUAUCAUGGAGGCCAGUGUUGCCAAUGCAUCCGCGAACUUAUUUUUUCUCUGGGUAAUGGAGAGAAACUAAUUUUCUUGAAUUGCCCUUACCUUAAACCUUAAGUAGCUCACUGAAGGAAGUGUGAAAGUAAGCAAGCAACGGAAAGCAUGGGAGAAAAAAAGGAAGAUACGCAAUUUCUUUUCUAAGAAAGAGAUCAUAGUGAUUGAUGGCUCUUUCAAUCCACCGAAAUGGAAUGCCCUCUCGAAAAUAAAGAUUUGAAGUGGUCUAUAAUUUACUAAGUAAUCGGUAUAACUCACGCAUUCAUGUACAAACCAGUGUAGACGAAGUAACACGAAUAUCCUCUGGUUCUUCCCAUCUCUAGUACGGAUCAUAUCAUAGGAUCUCUGUAUGUAUGCGCUGAGGAGCUAUAUCUCCUGAAUUUAUUUUAAAACAAAAGAGGAAGCCCCAGAUGUCAACUUCUCUGAUGACGACCAAGAGGAGGAAGAUAUUUUCCAAUAGCGGUCCGGAUUCCCAUUCCUUUCUGCCAUAGUCUACACUUGUCCGUCCAAAUGGUCGAACUUGCCAUCAAGUUAAGUUGGGUCACUCGAUCCUUCUUCAAUUUUAGAGAGACUUUUGAAUUGUGUUCCUUAUUUACUUAGGUGCAAUACAUUUUCAAAAGCUUUUUGUCGAAACAGCCCCAAUUUCAAUCUGUGCUAGACAAAUCGAUAUAUCAAUAAUCAAGUCUUCAGUCAGCUGGUGGAAUACAUUGCAUCAACCUGGGAGUAUUAGCCGAUCUGGUACAUCAAUACAUGUUCCUUAAUUCUAUUCCGGCUAAUACAUGAAGGAAUAGCCGAUCUUAAGUAGAGUGAGUCUACUUAGCAAACUGGCUUGAGGUUAUCUCCGCUGAUUGAUUGAAGAUUGAAUCAUUCCUCAUUUUAUUCAGGCUAUUCCUUUCCGAUGGUUGAUUUAUUCAUGAACAUGACCAAAUAUCUUACGACACGAGAUGACGACCGGUCUGUGAUUGAGUGAUAGAUUGAUCGACGACGGAACGAAGAACGAAACUUUCCGACAGUUGUUUCGGAACUAUUGCUUUUGUCUUUUCUUUACUCUUCCUCCAUCAUCUCGACACCUGUCCACUCAACUUUGAUACCCGAAUUUCUUGCGUAUCCACCCUGAAAGCGAGAGCUCGAGGCAGUGCGAAAGGUUGGGAAAUAGUACGCCUGGUUCACCAGGUUAUACCACUGCAGGGCCUCUGUUUGUGCUUAGUCCAUUUUAAAGGAAAGAUGCAAGAAGACUCUGCAGGUGCAGGAGUAAAGUGAUCCCCACCCGGAAAUCACGAACAGAGUUGUCGUCUUCCUUUUUCUUUCACUUACUGACGUGUCACGUCCCAAAGUCGAGGGGCAUGACCGGCACCCGACCGGGUAGCCCCAAUCGAGCGGAUCUGUGUGCCUUUACUAUUCCCCAUGCGUUACCCCACAUUAUUCCUUGUUAAUAGCCAAAAGAUACCAAAUUUCAAUUAAAAGUAAAUAGGAAUUCUCUUUUAUAAGCACACAUAAUGAUUAACAGGGAACAUGGUGUACAAACUUCAGCACCCAAGACAUACACCUAUAUAAAUAAGUUCUAACCCACAUGACACUGUCUACGGAGCCUCUAGGAGAAGAUAAUACAACACUUGCCGGCGACAAGGCCCCGGCUAUACCUUUGCAAUGACAUCACAAAACUACUAUAACAACAACAAAGGUAACAUGAACCAUGCAGGGCCCCAGAAGGAGAGGGGCUCACCAAUAUGUACAUAAUUGAUAGAAAGGAGGAGGAGCUACAUAUGGCAGAAUGGCAACAACAGAGGUGGCCUGAACCACGCAGGGCCCCAGAAGGAGAGGGGCUCACCAAUAUGUACACAUAUGAUAGAAAGGAGGAGGAGCUACGGACGGUGGACUAGAGUGCUUGCCACGGAUCCACCUACAAUCAUAACACGAAUGUAGCGCCCCAGCAAAAGGGAUGUCAGUACAUUUGAAUUGUACUGGCAUGUAUGAACAAACUCUGUCCCAAGUAAACUCAAGCCAAAAUCCAUAUACAAGUAUAAAACUGAACAACAAUAGUACAACCAUGGAGCAACAACCAAACAUUUCAUAGCAAAUGAUACAUUAGUCAAACAAAGGGCAAUCAGUGCCCCACAUGUUACAAACUCUCCUGCUAUCUCCUUUCACAAUUCCUCAUUGAUCAUUUGAAGAUUUUGUAUUCAUAUCAAUAGUGAUAUUGUAUCACAUUUUCCACCCUUAUUACCUCGUCCACCCUUAUUACCCCGGCCACCCUUAUCACCCUAACCCACACCUUAUUUCACCAUGUUUCGGCACGUAACUCGACCCUGCCUGACAGCUUCAGUUCACAACAACAUACAACACAACAACAAUUACAAGAAAUCAACUAUAGCACAUUGUUAAGAUAGAACCACAACAAGGGUAAUGUAUUUCCACAACUAGAAACAACAAUUUUCUCAUGUUCAUCAACUUUGUACACAAUUUGGGUUACCACAACAGUUUUUUCACAACCAAUCAUACACAUUGUUCACAUUAUUUCUAUUUCCAUAAUUCCAAACUCUUUCAAUACAAGUUCCUCAACUUCCACCACAAAGUGUUACCACACAAGUAUACGUCACAAGAGUUUCACAAUGAUCCCCACAUGAAUGUCAAUUAUCAAACAAUUUCACAAACUAACACAUGGCGAUUUCACAAUGAUCAUAGUUAGCCAUACAUACUUGAAGUUGAUUAUCCCCUUCAAACCUCUAGUCCAAUUCGCCAAGCAAUCUAGAAGUCAAUCUAGUCCAUGAGUAACAUUUAGGUUUUAGAAAUUAAACUCGUAGUCAUUACCCAAUUCCUUGUUUAGUAAGAUUAUAGGGUUUUAGGAGCAUGCAUGAGAGUUUUAUGAAGAAUUUCAAAACAAGUGUAUGGGGUUCCCCUCCCAAACUUAAAUUUUGAAAUUUGGGGAAAUGGGUUAGGGAUUUACCUGAGAAAUCAGUAGAGAAGACAAUGCACCAACACCCUCCCAAGCUUAAAUUUUGAAAUUUGGGGGAAAUGGGUUAGGUAUUUUACCCGAGAAAUCAGUAGAGAAGACAAUGCACCAAGAAUUUUCUGAGCUCUAAUGGUUUUGAAAGACUAGAUGAUGAAGAACUUACUUUCUCUCUUAAGAUCCCUCUCUUAUUUUAAUCACAAAUGUAAUAAAAAUGAGGGAGAAGGUGUUUUAAUAAAAGGUGGGUCGGUCCGCAGAAUGGACGCAGAAAUGGCUCAAGUUUCGGACCUCUAGGAUUAGGAAUGCGGUAUAUAUGCAGUGUGCAUUCCUGUUCUACGGUCGCAUAAUGCACCGCAUAAUUGACCUUCCAAUUUCUUCAAGGACCAUAUGCGAUCAAUCUGCGGUCCGCAUAUUGAUUAUGCGACCGCAUAUCUGACCGCAUCUUUGACAUCAAAAAUUGGUUGCUCUUUGAUUCAUUAUGCGGUAGGAAUGCGGUCCGCAUAGGUGAUCUGUGACCGCAUUCUGGACCGCAUUUUGAAAAUUUUCUAGAAAAAUUUUGAUUUCACAUUUUUAAGUGCAAAACGGCAAAAAGGAUCUGAUCCACGUAGGUAGACUCGACUCUAUGAGCUGCUAACAUCUGAGCACUCAUUUUCACGGGGCCUUACAUCCUCCCCCGCUUAAGAUCAUUCGUCCUUGAAUGAGGACUCGGGGACCAAAUGAGUUGAAAAUAUGAUAUGCAAGUUCCUACACUUUUAUUAACUUUCAAGUUUGUUUUAGAAAAAUUUUGUUAGAGUCUCCUUUGUAAUAUGGACAUAACCACCUGUCAAAGAGCCUCCAAAACUUAUUCCCAAGUAUUACUACACAAACUUUCUACCUUUACAACAGUAUAAAAAUGUACGAUCUUCAUACUUGCACAUAUUUAACCUCUCGAUAAACUUUUUAACUAUUUUGGCACACUACAUGUAAUCAAAUUAAGCAUUAAUUGUCUGUACUAUUAAAACCAUUUACCUAUCACAAGGGUAUGACACAAUUAUUCAUUUCAAUUCGAUUCCUCCAUGCAAAACUAAUCAUUAGACGAUUAGAACACUUUGAUACACCAUUUCCACGCAAAAUUAAUUAUUACUUCCAUACAUCCCCUUACCAUGGGAGCACAAAACUUUCAUUACCAAAAAGGAUUGCACAUUGCUCAAAUAGAGUUAGCACAACUUGGAGAAACUACAAUAGCAAGGCACUUGGGAAGAGAAGGAAGGUUUCUUACACCUAAUGGGACACAACGCUAGUUCUCCUAGGGACAAGAUUCGCAUGAUCAUUCCUAGACUUACUCAAAUAGAUGGUGAUAUUUUAUCUGCAUCUCAUCCUCUGCUUCCAUUCUCCUAUGGACAAGAUUCGUACGAUCAUUCCUAGACUUACUCAAAUAUAUGGGGAUAUUUUAUUUGCAUCUCAUCCUCCGCUUCCCACGUUGUUUCCUCGACUUGCUGGUUUUGCCAGACCUCCUUAACUGAAGUAAUCUCCUUGUUCCGCAACUUUCAUACCAGCCUAUCCAGAAUAGCAACCGAAAUCUCUUCAUAUGAUAACUCUUCUAUAACCUUGAUGUCUUCCACGAGCACAAUUUUAGAUGGAUCACCCACAACUUUCCUCAACAUGGAUACAUGAAACACCGGGUGCACCAAUGACAUUUAUGGGUGCAAUUUCAACCUAUACGCAACUUGACCGAUCCUUUGAGUGACUUGAUAAGAACCGACAUACCUAGGACAUAGUUUUCCCUCCUUCCCAAAGCGCAUGACUCCCUUCAUACGGGACACCCUAAAUAAUACCCAAUCUCCUUUUGAAACAUCAAUUCUCUUCGACGCACGUCCGCAUAGGAUUUAUGGUGACUUUGAGCAGUAUUCAUCCUCUCCUAAAUGAUUUUUACCUUCUCCAUGGCCUGAUGCACGAGAUCUGGGCCUAUUAAUUCUGCUUCACCAACCUCGAACCACCCGAUCGGGGACCUACACCUUCUUCCGUACAAUACUUCGAAUGGGGCCAUCUGGAUGCUAGCAUGGAAGAUGUUAUUAUAAGCAAAUUAUAUAAGGGGCAGGUGAUCAUCCCAAUUACCUAUGAAAUUCAAGACACAUGCCCGCAACAUAUCCUCAAGCGUCUGAAUAGUCUGCUCUGCUUGGCCAUCGGUCUGCGGAUGAAAAGUCGUGCUGAGGUUCACUUGAGUACCCAAACCUUGCUGAAAUUUCCUCCAGAAGUUAGCUGUAAACUGAGCUCCUNNNNNNNNNNNNNNNNNNNNNNNNNNNNNNNNNNNNNNNNNNNNNNNNNNNNNNNNNNNNNNNNNNNNNNNNNNNNNNNNNNAACUGAGCUCCUUGAUCCGAAAUGAUAGAAAGUGGCGUACCAUGAAGCCUCACUAUCUCCUUGAUAUACAAACGAGCAUAUUGUUCCGCAGUAUCGAUGGUCUUGACUGGAAAAAAGUGAGCUGAUUUGGUGAGCCUAUCCAUAAUUACCCAAAUUGAGUCGAACUUGUGCUGAGUACGAGGUAGUCUUUUCACGAAGUCCAUAUUGAUCAUUUCCCACUUCCACAUAGGUAUUUAUAUAAGUUGAGUCAACCCUCCCGGCCGCUGAUGCUCGCCCUUUACUUGCUGGCAAUUUGGACACUUAGAGACGAAGUCAGCCACACUCUUAUUCAUACCACUCCACCAAUAAAUAUCCUUGAGAUCGUGAUACAUCUUUGUAGAGCCCGGGUGCACUGAAUACCUGGAAUGAUGAGCCUCUGCCAUUAUCCUCUCCUGAAGAAUACCCACAUCUAGGACACACAACCUGUCAUGUCACCGUAGACACCAUCAUUGCUGCCGAGCGAAAAUGCAAAAAUUAUGUUGCUUAGAACUGCCUCCUUCAACUGUGCCAAUGCUGGAUCAACAAACUACUUUUCUUUAACCUCUGUCACGAGUGACGAUACCACUGUAUUAUGCACCCUCAUGGCACCGUAAUACACCAUCACUGCUGCCGAGUGAAAAUGCUAAAAUUUUGCUACUUAUAGCUGCCUCCUUCAAUUGUGCUGAUGUUGGAUCAAUAAACUGCUUUUCUUUAACCUUUUCCACGAGCGACGAUUCUGCUGUAUUAUGCACCAUGGGUUCCUCCUCAUUCAGGGCCGAGAUACAAAUCCCAAGGCUAGCUAACUGGCGUACCUCCCGAGCUAGGAGCCUCUGAUCCGCUCUCAAGUGAGCCAAGCUACCCAUAGAUUUUCGAUUGAGGGCGUCGGACACCAUGUUCGCCUUUCCUGGAUGGUACAAGAUGUCCAUAUCAUAAUCUUUAAGCAAUUCUAACCACCACCACUGCCUCAAAUUCAGCUCCUUCUGCUUGAACAAAUAUUGAAGACUCUUGUGAUCUGAAAAGCAAUUCCAACCACCGCCGCUGCCUCAAAUAUAGCUCCUUAUGCUUAAAUAAAUAUUGAAGACUCUUGUGAUCUGAAAACAAAUCUACAUGAACCCCAUAAAGAUAAGGCCGCCAUAUUUUCAAGGCGAACACAACUGCUGAAAGCUCCAGAUCAUGCGUCGGAUAAUUCUUCUCGUGAUUCUUGAGUUGCCUGGAAGCAUAUGCUAUGACCUUCCUAUGCUGCAUCAGAACACUCCCUAGCCCAACCCUGGAGGCAUCACAAUAAACUACAAACCCCUCUGUGCCUUAUGGCAAAGCCAAUACUGGUGUCGAAGUCAACCUUGUCUUCAAUUCUUGAAAACCUUUCUCACAAGCAUCUGACCACUGGAACUUGGCUGAUUUCUCUGUCAAUUUGGUCAAUGGAGAGGUGAGGAUGGAGAAUCCCUCUACAAACCUCCGAUAAUACCCUGCUAACCCCAAAAAGCUACGGAUCUCCAUUGGGGUCGUGGGCCUAGGUCAAUCCUUCACCGCUGCAAUCUUUUUGGGGUCCACCUGAAUCCCUUCACUGGAAACAACAUGACCCAGAAAAGCGACGGAGUACAACCAAAAUUCACAUUUGGAGAAAUUGGCAUACAAUUGGUGCUGACGUAGAGUCUGCAAAACCGCUAUGAGGUGGCUAGCAUGAUCCACCCUGCUCUGUGAAUAUACGAGGAUGUCGUCAAUGAAAACAAUCAAGAAAAAAGUUUAAAAAUGACUUGAAGACCUGAUUCAUAAGAUCCAUAAAAGCUGCCGAGGCGUUGGUUAGCCCAAAGGACAUGACCAAGAUUCAAAGUGGCUAUAACGCGUUCUGAAAGCGGUUUUAGGAAUAUCCUGCUCCCUGAUCUUCAAUUGGUGGCACCCGGACCGCAAAUCAAUUUUGGAGAAGAAACUUACACCUUGCAAUUGAUCGAACAAAUCAUCUAUCUGAGGCAAAUGGUACUUAUUUUUUAUGGUGCCUUUAUUAAGUUGCCGACAAUCGAUACACAUCCGAAGCGACCCAUCCUUCUUUUUGACAAAAAGAACGGGAGCACCCCAUGGCGACACACUUGGCCGGAUAAACCCCUUCUCCAAUAGAUCCUUCAGCUUCUCUUUUAACUCUCGCAACUCUGCUAGCGCCAUUCUGUAUGGUGGAAUAGAUAUUGGCUGGGUAUCUGGCAAUACAUCAAUCCCGAAAUNNNNNNNNNNNNNNNNNNNNNNNNNNNNNNNNNNNNNNNNNNNNNNNNNNNNNNNNNNNNNNNNNNNNNNNNNNNNNNNNNNNNNNNNNNNNNNNNNNNNNNNNNNNNNNNNNNNNNNNNNNNNNNNNNNNNNUCACAACUGGCACGGACUCGGGGGCAGGUACCUUUGGAGUAGUGUCCGCCACCCGGACUAAAUGAUAGAUACACCCCUUCCUGAUCAUCUUCAAAGACUUGAUGUAGGAAAUAAACCUACCCCUCGGCACAACGCCAUUUCCCUUCCAUUCAAUAACCGGCUUAUUAAGGAACUCUAGUCUCAUGACUCUCGUGCAUCAAUCAAGUUUAGCAAAGCACGAAUAGAGCCAAUCCAUCCCCAUGAUUACAUCAAAAUCCACCAUCCCAUGCUCGAUUAGGUCAGCCGUGGUAACACGACCACCUACCAUAACAACACAAUUCCUAUAGACCCACACGGUUGUAAUAGAAUCACCAACCGAAGUCGAUACAGAGAACGGCUCAAGAAGCUGCUCGGGUUCAAUCCUAAAACUCGAAGCAACAAAUGGAGUGACAUAGGACAAAGAAGACCCCGGAUCAAUAAGACCAUAACAAUCAAUGGUCUGGACAGAUAGGAUACCUAUGACAACAUCUGCGGAAGCCUCAACACUCUGACGGCCACUCAAUGCAUAUAACAUGCUGGGUCCGCCCCUACCACGAGCUCCAGCUCUGGCUGCACCAUACCCUGCUGGGCCUGGAGGGCGCACUGAUGCCGUAGCAACUGAUGAACUGGAUGGCUGAGCAAGUCCCCUACUCGUGCCCUGUCUGGGUGCACGGUAGUCCCGCUGUAUGUGACCUCUCACCCCACACUCGUAACACACUGGAACAUCCAAGUAACAUGCCUCUGUAUGAAAUCUCCCACACUUGGAACAUAUACCUCCCUGUUGCCGAGGUCUCAUCCCCGAAUGACUGAACUGGCGGGACCUUCUGCUGUCUAAACCUAGCCCCGAAGGGCUACUCUGCUAGUAACGGUGCACAUAUGGAGGUGCACUGGCUGAGGACUGAGCAUAAGAUUGAGAUGGUCCUGAUAACCCUCUCCCUAGAGCUGACCUCGCUGGGUGACCCAUAGACCGGGCCCUACUACUACUCUCCCCGUCUGCCCGAAUCUUCAACUUCCUGGCCUCUGUAGCCUGAGCAAAACCCACGAUCUUCCCAUAGUUUAUGUCUAAAUGCAAAGCCGUUGUAGCAGCCUCAUUUACCACCAAAGGGCUGAGACCCUGAGCGAAUCACCGAACUCUGGCCUCCGUAGUCGACACCAACUGAGGAGCAUACUUGGACAACCUCACGAACUCCAUAUGAUACUUCUUAACACUCAUGCUACCCUGCUUAAUAACCUCAAACUCGGUUGCACAGGCUGCCAUGGUCUCGGCAGGCAAGAAGUGGUCCAUGAAGGCAUCUACGAAUCACCGAACUCUGGUCUCCAUAGUCGAUACCAACUGAGGAGCAUACUUGGAUAACCUCUUGAACUCCGUAUGAUAUUCCCAAACACUCAUGAUACCCUGCUUAAGAACUUCAAACUCGGUAGCACGGGUUGUCAUGGUCUCGGCAUGCAAGAAGUGGUCCAUGAAGGCAUCUACGAACUCAUCCCAUAUAGCUGGAGGUCUCCCCUCCUCACGGGAAUCCUCUCAUAUCUCAAACCACGAACGCGCAGCUCCCUUCAACCUGUAUGAAACCAAUUCUACCCCUUCUAUCUCUGUAGCCUUCAUCACUCGAAGGGUCUUGUACAUCUCAUCAAGGAAUUCUUGCGGAUCAGCCUCUAGGUCUGUGCCUGAGAACUCUGGAGGGGACACUCGCAGAAACUGGUGAACUCUAGAGCUAGAGGAAUCUCCCUGUCCGCUGGAGGACACAGGGACAUUAUGAGAUAUCUGGGCCUGGGCGGCCACUAACUGGGUCAACAUGCGGAUGGAUCCCAUAUGGUCUCCACCAGAAAUCCCGGGAUCGGAAGCUGGAGCAACAUCAGGAUUAUGAGCAUUGGCAGGAGGGAUAGUGGCACCCUCGCCCGCUGCUGGAACAUUGUUGCUUGGAUCAGGAAGGGAUGGAGCAUGCAAAUUCAUAACUGGGGAAUCACUCUCACCCACGGCAGUCGGCACAUGAUCCACAGCCGCAGUGGUAGUGGCGUUGGCUCCUAUGCCAAGUCUAGCUUUCUUUUUGGGUGCCAUUACUGAAAAUUUGAAAUAAAGCAUGAAUUAGACACAACAUCACUUCAUCGCACGAACUUGGAAUAACAAAGAAGUUUUUCCUAAAUGCCUGUGUAGCCCCCAACUUAUAGAUGUGGUCGACAACACACAUAUAAGAAGGGCUCUACUAGGCACGGCUCUGAGAUAUCCUAGGACUCCUUAAAAGCUUAGGCUAUGAUACCAAGAUUGUCACACCCCAAAGCCGGGGGGCAUGACCGACGCCCGACCGGGUAGCCCCAGUUGAGCGGACCUGGGUGCCUUUACUAUUACCCACGCGUUACCCUACAUUAUUCCUUGUUAAUUAGCCAAAAGAUACCAAAUUGCAAUUGAAAGUAAAUAGGAAUUCUCUUUUAUAAGCACACAUCAUGAUUAACAGGGAACAUGGUGUACAAACUUUAGCGCCCAAGACAUACACCUAUAUACAUAAGUUCGAAACCACAUGACACUGUCUACAGAGCCGCUAUGAGAAGAUAAUACAACACUUGCCAGCGACAAGGCCCCGACUAUACCUUUGCAAUGACAUCACAAAACUACUAUUGCAACAACAGAGGUGGCCUGAACCACGCAGGUCCCCAAAAGGAGGGAUGCUCACCAAUAUGUACACAACUAAUAGAAAGGAGGAUGAUCUACGGACAAUUGACUGGAGUGCCAUCCACGGAUCCACAUACAAUCAUAACACGAAUGUAGCGCCCCCCGGAAAAAGGGACGUCAGUACAUUUGAAUUGUACUGGCAUGUAUGAACAAACUCUGUCCNNNNNNNNNNNNNNNNNNNNNNNNNNNNNNNNNNNNNNNNNNNNNNNNNNNNNNNNNNNNNNNNNNNNNNNNNNNNNNNNNNNNNNNNNNNNNNNNNNNNNNNNNNNNNNNNNNNNNNNNNNNNNNNNNNNNNNNNNNNNNNNNNNNNGCCAAACAUUUCACAACAAAUGAUACAAUUAGUCAAACAAAUGGGCAAUCAGUGCCCCACAGGUUACAAACUCUCCUGCUGUCUCCUUUCAUAAUUCCACAUUGAUUUCAUGAUUUUUUUAUUCAUAUCAAUAGUGAUAUUGGAUCACAUUUUUUACCCUUAUUACCUCUUCCACCCUUAUUACCUCGGCCACCCUUAUCACCCCAAUGCACAAUUUAUUUCACCGUGUUGCGGCGCGCAACCUGACUCAGCUGACAGUUUCAGUUCACAACAACAUACAACACAAUAACAAUUACAAGAAAUCAACUAUAUCACAUUGUUAAGAUAGAACCACAACAAGGGUAAUGUAUUUCAACAACUAGCUAUAACAAAUUUCUCAUGUUCAUCAACUUUGUACACAAUUUGGGUUAUCACAACAAUUUUUCACAACCAAUCAUGCACGUUGUUCCAUAAUAUUUCCAUUUCCAUCAUUUCCAAACUCUUUCAAUACAAGUUUCUCAACUUCCACCACAAAGUGUUACCACACAAGUAUACGUCCCAAGAGUUUUACAAUGAUCCCCACAUGAAUGUCAAUUAUUAAACAAUUUCACAAACUAACACAGGGCGAUGUCACAAGGAUCACAGUUAGCAUCCAUACCUGGAGUUGAUUAUCCCCUUCAAACCUCUAGUCCAAUUCGCCAAACAAUCAAGAAGUCAAUCUAGUCCAUGAGCAACAUUUAGGUUUUAGAAAUUAAACUCGUAGUUAUUACGUCACAGAGCUCUCAACUGAGUUGUUUAGGUUCUGGAAUUUCAUAUGUAGUUGGGGAUUUCGAUUCGAAAAAAAAGAGAUACCACUUCCUGAUGAAUUACGUACGCAGAUUGUUCGUCCACUUCAAACGCUCAAAACCGACCAUUUUCCGUGUGAAAUGACAUGGAUUGGUUUGGUUACUUAGGGAAUCCCAAGCAAGCAGAGACAAGUGCACCAAGGGAUGCUGGUUAAGAAGGGUUCUGUUUGAUUUUAUAACCUGUUGAAGGUGAGCCUAUCGGCAAACUAAUUUUUCUUUCCUAGGCUGAGGAGCAUAGUCAGAGGUAUUUGGUGCCUGAAUGCUUGACUUAGAGCUGGUGCCACCUAAACGGUAGGUAUGCGGCAAAUGUGUGACGUUUGGAGUUGUCGUUCGUGCACCUGUCCCCAAUGGAAGAGGAAGUCGAUGAGAUAAGGGGCGAAAGAUAUUCAUGAUAUUCAGAAAGAUUUAUGUUCAUUGAUGGAUGGAUUUGAAAGCAAGUGAAAGAACUAGUUGCAUAGAUAUAAAUAUAGAGAAAGUCCUUUCUCGCUUAGUCCCGCUAUAACUUAACAGCCAAAAAGCUCUGCGUCGAACUUAAGCCCCUUCGAGUUGGCCACAAGGUAAUAGCCUCUGACGCUCCACACCAUUGCGACAGGAGGGGGCUUGCCUAUCAGCCUACUUUGCCAAGAGGUGGCAGGAGCGCAGGGAAUUACGCUUUUUCUCCCGCCUCAGCUUCGCGAAUGGAAGGAGGGCGAGAGCGUAGCACCCUCCAAUCUUAAAAAAACUGAUGGAAUGCGAUCUCAUAGGCAGUUUCCUAUGAGCGUUACAAACCAAUCUCACAUAAUUCACGACGAUGACGAACUGUGAACCUAUAUCUUACUCUCUACUACUCGAACCAGGUACUGGUGAGAGCAAUAUAUAUAUAUUAUUACUCUAUUUACUUAAUCACGAGUAAGUAAUAAGUUUCUCACUUAAAUUUUUAAUUACUCAGGCUACAUUGAAGUUCGACAUUCAUAAAGAAUUAAGUAUUCUGAAUUUAAACUAAGUAUAUGAAGUUGGAAUUGAUUGCCUUGAAAUUCGAGUUGAUUAUUUGAAGUUCAAAUAAUUUUUUCUUGUUUUAUUUUGAUAUUUUUAAUUUUGUUUUGUUUAAGAUUCAAGUAGUCUAAAAUUGUAAAUAACAUAAUUUUUUUUUGUUAAUUUUUUAACAUGAAAGUUACAGAGUUUUUUCAUUAGAUGCAUCCCACUCUAAAAAGUUGACAUUUUGGCAUUUGUCCUUUUUAUUGAAUACACACAAUUUAGUUAUUUUAAUUCAAGAAGUACAAUAUGUGACUUUAUUAUUAUUUUAAAAUUCAAUAAAUGAAACCUGAAUUACCAUGAAAUUUCAAUUUAACCUAAAAAAGUAAUUUGGUACAUAUUUUAAAGGAUUGGAGGAAAGGCCCCGCUAAAAAAAAUAAAAAAAUAAUAUAUAGUGUUUACACAAAGUACCCUUCGACCCUAGGAAAAUAGUGCAAGUACCCCUUGGCAAGCCACCCGCGCCAAAUAGGCAGACAACCGCUUCAUUUUAUUUGCCCUAAUCCUUCUCUUUUACCUCCAUAGCACUGAAAAACCCCUAAAGUCAGAGAGAAAACCUCUGCAGCUUUUGUCGAAAACACCUCUCGGAACUCUUCGUCGACGCCUCGAUUUCGUCUUUCCGUCAGUCCAACAGGUGCGUUCCAUUUCCAGCUUCUUAAAGUAGCAUUAAUGCACAUUUUUCUUUUAUCUUUUACUUGUUAUACGUAUUCAUGCUGUAACUUAUCCAGCUUAGCUCGUUAAUUUUCCGAAACUCUGUCCCGAAUUUGCUGUACCAGGAUUUUGCAUCCAAAAACGUAGUUCAUUAGCUGUUAUUUGCCAGGAUUUGUAAUUUUAUGACUUCUAUUUUCAAGCUUAGAGUGUAGAUUUAUAUUCUGAUAUUUCAAAUUCUAGCACGCAGAGGCGGAUUCAGGAUUUUAACAUAGUGGUGCUGAGUACUAGUUGCAAUUGGUGCAACUUCAUGGCAUUUGUGGAUAUUUUCUCAGUGCCAAGUGGCAACUGUACAUGCAUCUGUCUUUUAGCGUUUCAGAUUGUUUAUCCAAAGCCCUGUUAGGACCAUCAAUUAGUCAAGUGCUCGCCCUAAUAGUAGGAUAAGAAGGGCAAAGUAACGUUUUGCUUUUACUAGGUCUCGAAUAUGAAUAUUUCAGUGUCUUUUGCCCUAAUUUUUUUUAAAGGAAGCGAUAGAGCCCGUUUGGACAUAAGAAAUUUUUUCCUUUUUAAGAAUUUUUUUCACUUUCUCCCGAAGUUGGUUUGUUCAUAAAAUUUUAAGUUUUCACUUGAAGAUGCAACAACAACAACAACCCAUUAUAAUCCCACUUAGUGGGGUCUGGGGAGGGUAGUAUGUACACAGACCUUACCCCUACCUAGAGAGGCUGUUUCCAAAUAGACCCGGCAUCCUUCCCUCCAAGAACUUUCCACCUGCCUCUUGGGGAGACUCGAACUCACAACCUCUCGGUUGGAAGUUGGGGUUACUUACCAUGAGAGCAACCCCUCUUGUCUUUCACUUGAAGAUGCAUUUUGAAAUUUUUGGAAAAUUUUAAGAUCUCCAAAAAGUUGUUUUUCAAAACUUUCAGUUAGAUCACUCACAAAACUUCAAAAACAACCCAAAUUAUAUUCACAUCCAAACACAACUCUAAUUUUCAAAUACCAUUUUCACUUGAACUUUUGUUUCCCCACUUUUUUUGGAAUUUUACAAUUCUUACGCCCAAACACCCACUUAGAGAUGGUUGAAAUUGUGCUUCAAGGAAGGUUUUCAUAAGCAAACAACUAGCAUCUUUACUUAUCAGAUAGAGCCUGUCUGAUGGCCUAUAUUCUAUAUUGUGUACGCGAUCUUUAAGGUCACUUAAAAAAUAUAUGAAGAAACGAGUAAAAAAGAAGAGGAAAGUAUUUAACAUUUUACUCCAAUACACACUCAGUUAUGUAUGUUAUCUUGUUUUGCAUAUAAAAUCUCUUACUGUGUUUACUUAUUAUCCUACUAGUUCCUUUGAUAUGUUUAUAAUAAGAUAUCUGGGCAACAAAUAUGUAUAAUUUUCCUUACUUUCUUAAUCUUAAUUGCUGUACUAAUCAAUUCUGCUUGUUAUGGAGACAGAUUUUAAACUAUGGGCGAUAGUGAAACUGCGGUAGCUCAAACCUCAUCAGUCACUGACUAUAAAUCCACUGAUUAUUCGUCAAAAGUUCCUGAUGAUGCUGGCACCCAUGCUUCUUCCGAUGCUGGAAAUGCUGGGGAUUUGGCCACUCCAUGUCCAAAUGGCGCUGGGGAGUUAGCAUCUUCUAAUGUAGAAGCUAGAAACCUAUAUACUACUGAUGCAGUGUCUACCCAGCAAGAAGGUGCUACUGCUAUGACAUAUGAGGCCAGCCAGGAUCUUGCAGCUCUAGAAGAUGCAGCUGCAGGUUCAUCCCAAGCGGCUGUUUAUGACUCUUCUGCAAAUGGCAACAGCACUAUUGAAGCAAGAGACAUUGCUGAAAAUGGGAUUGCAUCAGAUGUUCAUGGAAAUUCCAAUAUGCAUCAGCCAGAAGAUGGCUUAGGUACAGGUUUUAGCUGUUCAGUGUCCAAUAUGCAUCAGCCAGAAGAUGCAUCUGCUGUUGCUACUUCUGCAAUUGAACUAAAUAAGUACUUAAUUAGAUGUUAAGGGACACUUGUCAUCAAUUUAAUUAGUCACGAGAAUCAUAAUACAAAUACAUGAUGCUGAUAUAAAUUUGUUUAGUAGAUAUGUUGUGUUAUUUCUUUUACAAAAGAAAAUCUCUGUAUAAAAUGUGAAGUUACGCAAGGAUGCCGCCUUAGCUUGGGUCUCUGUGAAUGUCUUUGGUGGUUGAUAGUUAUUUGUUUGUCUCGGCUGUCUUCUCAUAUUGUAACCAGCUGCUUUUCCCGGUCAGCUUACCUUUUACUCUUUCCUGCAGCAUCUUGUCUACUCGGUCAAUUUUGUUUUCUUUCCUCGUCUAAUCUUUCUGAAUUUUAAAUUUCCUUUAUCUCCCUUUGUCCUGAAUGUCAGUUGCAUCAGCGGUUUGUAAACUUACUGGCUAUACUUUCUGUUGACAGCUUUAUCUCCUGAAGAGGAAAGACUAUGGAGCAUAGUAAGGACAAAUUCUUUAGACUUCAAUGCCUGGACUUCCCUUAUUGAGGAGACGGAGAGGAUGUCAGAGGUACUUUAACUGACCUUCUGCUUAGGAAUUUGUCAUCUUGGUAUUCUUCAUUUCUCUUCUUCAGUUUUCUGUAUUGAGAUACGAGAGUUUCUCAUUAUUCUCAUUUUAUUUAAAGUUGCUACUCUCUCCCAUUGGUUGAAGUACCUAUCCGAAAAGGUGCUUUCUUUUCCCCGACAGCUGAAUUGACAGGGUACAAUUUUUUGCUAUAAAAAUAUAUCUGACUUUCAUGCUAAAGAGAAGGGUAGUGUGGCAGCAAAUUCCUCAAUUACAUACAUGUAAAUUUAUUGUCAAGCUAUAAAUUAAUCACCAUACUUAAAAUGAUUGAAUUCUGUUACACUCUAUGCGAUCUAUUACUGCAAGAUCUGCGUCAGAUAGGUGCUUUGUCGCAUAGCUCAUAUCUUUUAUGUUUAUAGUUAUUCUUUAGUUAGAUAAAUCUCUUGUUUCUUUGAUACAUGGAGCACUAUCAAGUUGGUGGUGUUCUAUUCCUCUCUUCCCAUCCAUGCCAUGUGUUAACCUACUUAGGAAAAAUUUUUAGUGGUGUCCAUGUUUUAAGCUGAAAUUACAUAUAUUUUAGAUUUUUUUAAUCUGGUUGUUGCCAGGAUUGACAAGAGGGGUUGCUCUGAUGGUAAGCAACCCCCACUCCCAACCAAGAGGUUGUGAGUUCGAGUCUCCCCAAGAGCAAGGUGGGAAGUUCUUGGAGGAAAGGAUGCCAGGGGUCUAUUUGGAAAUAGCCUCUCUNNNNNNNNNNNNNNNNNNNNNNNNNNNNNNNNNNNNNNNNNNNNNNNNNNNNNNNNNNNNNNNNNNNNNNNNGAAGGGAAGGAUGCCGGGGGUCUAUUUGGAAAUAGCCUCUCUACCCCAGGGUAGGGGUAAGGUCUGCGUACACACUACCCUCCCCUGACCCCACUAAGUGGGAUUAUACUGGGUUGUUGUUGUUGUUGCAUCUUCAAGUGAAAUAUGACUUUUCUUCAAUGUUCUGCCUAUCAUUUAAUACAUUUUAGUCUAGUUACUCCCAAAAAAAAAAGAAUCUAAUACAUUGUCAUUUAUGGACAGCUUUAAUUUCUUAAUCUUUAUAUUAAGCAAACAAGCUCAUCUAUAAUGUGGAUUGUGUAUUUGUCUUUUUUAGAGCAAACUUUCCAAGGUCCAAUUCUCUUGCUAAAAUCUGCUUGUGGCUGUCUAUAUUCUAUAUCUUGUGGACACAAAUUUUCUCAAUGAUUGAUUCAAUAUGCAUUGUAAAAAUGUGUAGGGCAACAUUUUGAAGAUUCAGAAGGUUUAUGAUGCAUUCUUGGCAGAAUUUCCUCUAUGUUACGGUUAUUGGAAGAAAUAUGCAGAUCAUGAGGCACGUCUUGGCUCUGUCGACAAAGUUGUGGAAGUCUAUGAGCGAGCUGUUCAAGGCGUGACAUAUUCGGUAGAUAUGUGGUUGCACUAUUGUGUUUUUGCUAGUCUAUGAACGAGCUGUUCAAGGCGUGACAUAUUCGGUAGAUAUGUGGUUGCACUAUUGUGUUUUUGCUAUAAGCACUUAUGGAGAUCCUGACACCAUUAGAAGGUAAUGUUGUUGAUGAUCUGAUUUGUUCUAGUUUUGCAUGGGAGAUCAUUGGCGCAAGAUGCUUAUAAUUUUUUUCUUUGUGAUCUUUAAAUGCUAUCUGACCUGAUUUCAGCACGUCUGCAACAGCUCUUAUUCAUCUACAUGGUGUAAGGUUUGUUUGGAUUGCACUUCAGGAUUGUAUAGCUGAUGUGCAAUCCAUGCGAUUCUAUGGCUACUGUAGCCAUAUGAAUUUUCUUCAGGAUUCAAUUAUAUUUUAUGGCCUUAUUCUCCCCAUUCUAUUUUCCCUGUCCUUAGGGCUGUGUAUAGUCCAUGUAGUUCUCCAUGAUAUUUUGCUGUUAUUAACCGUCGCACAUGAGGUGCAUCAAUAACCGCAUUGCUGCUGAGAAGAUCUCGUCCAGUAAGGCUAAGAUGCCCUCUCACUGCUCCUUUCACGGACAUUGUAAGAUUGUUUUGAGGAAGGUAAAUGCAGCAUAUUUGUGGGAGUGUCUGCUCUUUGAGUGAAUUAGUACUUUAGCUUGAACUCUUCUCAUGUACUGCAUUUUCUAGAGCCCAUGCAAAGGCAUGUGUGUGUUAUUAUUAAUCCUAUGGUACAUUGUUCUGUUGGUUUGUUAGGUUAUUUGAAAGAGGAUUAGUGUAUGUCGGAACAGACUACCUGUCUUUUCCACUUUGGGAUAAGUACCUGGAGUACGAAUACACACAGCACGCUUGGUCAAAUGUUGCUGCCAUAUACACACAGAUAUUGCAGAAUCCAAAUCAGCAGCUCGACCGCUAUUUUGAAGGGUGAUUAUCUUCCUCGAAGCUUAUUUUGCAUUUUCAGUAUUCAUUCAAGGCUCUCAGAUUCAGUGGUCGAACUUCUAGAUCAAUCUCUUACAGUACCAUUUGUUUUUCUGAUUGCCUUGUGAAUAGAAUUUACCUUUACUUGGUUUUAUAUAAACAAGCUCAAUCGUCGGCAGUACACUUAAGCGGAUAUCUUGUUUAAGUAUCUGGUUUUUGCAAGUUCCUUGUUUAUGCAUCUUGAUAUUGAUAGAAGAAAAGUAGCUGAUGUGAUUAUUGUUGCUUUCCUGGUGCAAUUGUAUCUACAGUUUUAAGGAGCUGGUGGCUAGCAGGCCUAUAUCAGAGCUACGAACUCCUGAAGAAGCUGCAGCUGCAGCAGAAGCUGGCAGUGAACAGAUUGAGGGAGAGGUUAAUCCUAGUUCUGAGCCUUCUAAACCUGUAAGUGCAAGCUUAAAAGAUGCCGAGGAGUUGGAGAAGUUUAUCGCCAUUAGAGAAGAGAUGUAUAAGAAAGCUAAAGAGUUCGAUUCUAAGAUCAUUGGUUUUGAAACUGCUAUAAGGAGGCCAUACUUUCAUGUGCGGCCUCUUAAUGUUGCAGAGCUUGAAAAUUGGAACAAUUAUCUUGACUUCAUAGAAGGAGGAGAUGACUUCAAUAAGGUAUUUUGGUUUGAUUAUUUGUGGAUUUCAAUAUCUCUUUAUUUAUAGCUUUAGUUGCCUUGUUAUACAUUUAUUUACAGUUAAAGUAAUAUCUGCUGCCUCAUAUGCUAGCCUUGUUAUACAUUUAUUUACAGUUAAAGUAAUAUCUGCUGCGUCAUAUGCUAUAUUGGCUUAACCAUCGGAUGAAGCAUCUUUUUAAACGGGAUAUUGAACUUGGACUAAAGCAUGGACCAUCCAUUUGCUUUCUAUAAGGCUAAGUACUUCAAACCCUCAUUUGUGAGUCCACGUUCUGGGUUCAUGAUCUGUUGUAUCGUGGAAUAUUUGUUUUGAAGUUCCAAUGUUAUGCAUGCAGGUGUGUUCUUAUCUUCCUAACCAUGUCAGGCUAGAAGGGCCCCCCUUUUGUUUUAGAGGGGCCCUGUUCCACCAGAGGAGUACUUCUUAGUCCUUUCAGCUUUUGGUGGAAUUUCCUUAUUGUGGUAGAACAUUAGUAUGUAUUAACCCAUUUGUUACUUGUGCAAGUCAGGUGGUCAAGCUGUAUGAGAGAUGUCUGAUUGCUUGUGCCAAUUAUCCUGAAUUUUGGAUUCGGUAUGUUUCGUGUAUGGAAACAAGCGGAAGUUUGGAUCUUGCCGAUAAUGCCCUUGCUCGUGCCACUCAAGUCUUUGUCAAGGUAAAAUCUCAUUAACUUUUUUUUGUGGGAUUUCCCCUUUGUGACUAUAUUUAGUCUGUUCAACAUGACAUUCUCUUUGCAUUUAGGGGGCCAUUUUUUGAAUCGUAUGCUUAAUUACUAUCUUGAAAUUUGAAAAAUUAUUCAACUCUUUGCUUGUCCGGAUGAGUUGUUUAGUGGUUAUUAACUUUUCAUCUCAAAAUCUAAUAUUUAUAGAUUUUGUGAGAUUUCUAUUCCCAUGUCAAGAUGAUAGCUGGCUUUUCUAUUGAAUGGGAUCAGUAUUCCCCCCUCCAUAUUUUAAAUAUAAGAAAUAUCUUGGCAUAGAAGGUUGAACCCUGAGGAAAACCCAACGGCUGCGAUAAUAUAAAUUGAGUGCAAUGAUGGACAGAAAUGGUUGAUAGUUUUCCAUGGAAGGUUGAACUCUGUUUUGCACCCUGUGAACUUGCUACUUAUUUGUCUGCCAUCUUGCAAACUUAGCAUUGAGAUAACUCUUCCAUAUAUUUUCUAGCCUGGAUUGUAGAUUGCUCCACCUGAAUAAUCUAAAUCCGGGGGCUGGUAAUGCUAAUGCCAGUGUUUUGCUGGUCAUCCGCGGAUAAGCUUGCUUGUUUGUCUGUCAUCCUGUAGUCUCAGCACGGAAAUUGCUCUUUAGUAGAUUUCUUAGCAUCGGAGAGGGGAUUAUGGGUUUGGGCAUUCAAGUUAAUGUGCGCUGGUAAUUCUAGUUGACCAGCAAGGUUGUAGGCAAUUCUCUCACUUGGAUAACUUAGACAAACGUACAAUGUUCCUACUGGGAUUUAUGAAGAUAAUUUCAACAAGUUAAAGUGCUAUUUAUUUUAAUUCUUUUAGUUCUUUCACAAAUUUACAUUCUCUUGCAAAAAGUUUUUUGAAGUGUUAAAGUAUUGAAUUCAAGUCAGAUCUGAAGUCGUUACUGAUAAUUUCUUGCUGGUUUCUAAGGAUAUAUCACUCUUCAUGCAAUAUAUGACCCUCAAAGACUUUUGAGGUUAUAAUAGUGUGAUUUUUCUUUGCCAAGAGUUUAUACUUGAAAGGGUGGAAGUGAGUUGCAUGAGGAUGCCCUUGAAGUAUUGUUGGAAAUUAAUUUAUCGUGCCUAGAGCUGUUACUUGCUUGAAUAGUUGCCUUUCAAAUUUCAAUCCUACUAUAUUUAACAAUUGCUCUCAUUUGUCCACCUUUAACAGAGACAGCCAGAGAUUCACCUUUUUGCUGCUCGAUUGCGGGAGCAACGUGGUGAUAUUCCUGGUGCUCAGGCUGCGUAUCAACUUGUGCAUGCUGAAAUAUCACCUGGACUUGUAGAAGCAAUAAUCAAGCAUGCGAACAUGGAACGUCGACUUGUAAGAUUGUUUCAUGACCUACUAAGGUUUCAGGAUUAUAUUUGAUUUUUGUUAACUUAUCUAAUGGAUCGUCUUCUUCUUGCUUCUUUGAAGGGGAAUCUUGAGGAUGCCUGUUCAGUAUACGAACAAGCUAUCGCCAUUGAAAAAGGAAAGGAGCACUCGCAGAGUUUGCCAUUAUUGCUUGCACAGUACUCUCGGUUUUUGUACAUGGUAUAGUUCUUUUGUGUCUUGUGUUAUCCAGCUUUUACAUCUUUGACUCAAGUAAUUGACUAUUGCCUUUUCCAUCUUGUUAUAGUGUGGUCUCCCAAUUGUGGUGAUCAAUUAUAGAUAUUGUUUUGCUUCGUUGUUGUUUAUGGAAAUUGUAAUUUAAUAUUCUCAUCUGUGAAUGGGCUUCCCAACAUUGUUUAGUAUAGUCUCGGAAUGAUUCUCUGUUUUAUGGACGUGCAUCAUCAUAAUUUAUGUUGCAAUCAUACACCAACAUAUUGUAAGACAUAGUUAUUUAGACCAUGGCUUGUCACAAUAUUCCACAUAAUCAUCUGAUUCUCAAUCACUUUAGUUAUUUGUUCAUGUGUACACACUCUUCACUGCCCUUGUGGAAGGCUUUUCAGUAGGAAGAGAAAGCAGAAUUAGUGUAAGUGAGUGGAGAGUCAUUAAGGACUUUGACUUGAUCCCCUGAAUUGUUGGGUGUUGAUAAUGCGGAAACAUCUUUUUUUGCUUCGAGUUCCUCAUGAUUAGAGCCUUCAUUGAAAUUUAUGUAUUUGUCCUCCUUUGGCUCACUAUCACAAAAUCUCUGUUGAAAGGUUUGUGGGAAGGUGGAAAAAGCUCGGGAAAUUCUUGAUCAAGCAGUUGAGAAUGUCCAGUUGUCAAAACCACUUCCGGAGGUCCGACUCUCUCUCUCUCUCUCUCUCUCACACACACACACACACACACACAUCCAAAGGCAUAAUGAGUGGAGGAAUUUAUGUUUUCUUAUUGACAUGCUGUUUUCAUUUAAAAAAAUACAGGCACUGAUCCAUUUAGAAUCCAUUCAGUCGCUACCAAAGAGAAUAGAUUUGCUGGAUUCAUUGGUUGAUAAGUUCAUAGUUCCAUCCCCUGAGAACCCUAGCGUUGCAAGUGUUGAUGAAAGAGAGGAGUUAUCAAGCAUUUUCUUGGAGGUAUGAACUAUUAGAUUUGAGUACUUGACAGAGGUUUGGGACUUUGAUGCUCUCAAUGUUAGAACAAAUAUGCCUUGCGCUGUUCUCGUGGGAACCCUUACGUUUGGAGGUAUGAACUGUUAGAUUUGGGUACUUGACAGAGGUUUGGGACUGUGAUGCUCUCAAUACAACAACAACCCAGUAUAAUCCCACUUAGUGUGGGGUCUGGGGAGGGUAGUAUGUACGCAGACCUUACCCUUACCCUUGGGUAGAGAGGCUGUNNNNNNNNNNNNNNNNNNNNNNNNNNNNNNNNNNNNNNNNNNNNNNNNNNNNNNNNNNNNNNNNNNNNNNNNNNNNNNNNNNNNNNNNNNNNNNNNNNNNNNNNNNNNNNNNNNNNNNNNNNNNNNNNNNNNNNNNNNNNNNNNNNNNNNNNNNNNNNNNNNNNNNNNNNNNNNNNNNNNNNNNNNNNNNNNNNNNNNNNNNNNNNNNNNNNNNNNNNNNNNNNNUUCCCUUUUCUUUGAUCAAUAAAAUGUGUUCCUUUGUGUGAUGCUCUCAAUGUUGGAACAAAUAUGCCUUGCGCUGUUCUCGUGGGAACCUUAUGUUAUUUGAAGUUAUGAUCUUGACCAGAUAUGCUUUGAAAUGUGUUCAGUUAUAUAUAUCAUAUGCUUUUAGCACAAGGCUGUUGUCUGUAUAUUCCAAGAUGGCGCUACCAUAUUCCUGAUACCUGAAUUCCCUCUUUUUGAUACAAACUGACUGAACUGUAAUAAUUGAACAAGGUGGACAUACUUUAUUAAGCUGAUACCCCAUCCCUGAACUAGUAUUCCUGUCAGAUAUGCACUUGGAUAGUUGGCAUAUAUCUUUAGGUACUUUUCCAAGUUUGCUAUACUGUGAAGAUAAGAAAACUGGUAAAAUGGAGUUAAAAUUGUUGUCCAAAUUAGAAAGGGACACUGUUUUCGGUCCUCCAAGAAAGAAAAAGAGGUCACUAUUUUUGGGAUGUAGGAAGUAGAAAAACAUAUUAAGUUCAGUGGGGAGUUUGUUUAUCAUGUUGCUCUGUUGUUUAAAACACGACAUGGCACUCCACGACAUGGUUUAAAUUCGAGUAUGGACUUGAUUUCUUGAAAUUUCCACUUUGUGUUUGAAUGAUUGGUUGUUUCACUAACCAGACUACUAUAUCAUGGUAGUUUAGUCAAAUCAUAUGACGCUUCAAAUUUGAAUAAUAUCCGAAUCUCUUAGCGAUGAUAUGGGGUGUCCGGAGAGAAAUUUGUUUUAUUGGCAAUCAUAUCUGAUUCUUGAAGCGUAAACACUUCAGAAUGUCUUGGAGAUGCAAUAGGGAUUCUAUAAGGAGAUUUCUGAUUCUCGAGCUUUCACAAUCUUGUUUUAUAGACCUUAAAGUGUAUACAUUUUGGAAUGUCUGGUGCAAUAGGGAGUCUGGAUGGAGAUUUUUUUACUGGGAGUUAUUUCUGAUUCGUGAGCCUUCACAUCUUUUGAUUUUUUAAAGACUCUGAAGUGUAAACAUGUUGAAACAUUUUGUGGGUGCAAGGGGAGUUUACAGAGGGAUUUGUUUUCUUUGGAAUUAUUUCUGACUCUUGUGAGCCUUCACAAAAUUUAUAUAGCUUUUGAGUGUCUUAACUGAUUAUCCUUUGUGCUAUUUGUAUAUAUAAUCCAUCUGUUGCUGCUUUGUGCUAUUUGUAUAUUAUUAUCCGUCUGUGGGGGCUUCACUGUUUGAUGCUUUUGCCGAAAUGUUCUGAGACCGAGAAAGUGUCUUCAGUUUCUAGAUCUUUUCGGAGAUGCAGCAUCAAUUAAGAAGGCUGAUGAUCGGCAUGCUAAGCUCUUCUUACGCCAUAGAACCUCUUCAGAUUCAAAGAAACGUCAGGCUGACGAUUAUUUAGUUUCUGAGAAGACAAAGCUGGCAAACUCUGCUGUUGCAGCAUCUAACCCCUCAGUGGCUGGUGCAUUUCCUGGAGCGCAAAAUCAAUGGCCUGCAGGUUAUGGUGUACAAGGUCAAACCUGGCCACAGGCUGCACAAGCCCAACCACAGCAGUGGAAUCCUGGUUAUGCGCAGCAGGUAAUGUUAUGGCAAAUAGUUAACAGUUGCACUAAAGAUGGGUUGCCCCCUUGUUCAGAUCUCUCUCCCUAGAGUGCGGAUCUGGAUAUGCUUCCCAGAGCAAUGCAACAUGGAACCGUUAUAUAUGUGUUGCGCAUACUUUAACCAACAUGUUGAUUUAGGUUAAACUGGAACCUCAUCAUGGAGUUAAAGAAGUAAUUUUUGUAUUUAAAUGGAUUUUGGAUGCUCCUUUCCUUUUUCCUCUGAAUCAGAUUUCUGUGAACAUAUAGCUUUUCUUAAGCAAAUGUUUUAUCACUCUCCAUCGCUCAGUUUCUUGUUAUAUAUUUUCUUUUUCUCCACCCCUCGGGUCCAUGGAGGUCUUCCUUUACGCAUGUAUUUCAGUUCUCCCUUUGGUAAAGCUUGAGAGUGUUGUAUGUCCAUGUGUGUGAAUAUUCAUGUUUUGCUCAGUCCAUAUAUUCUUUCAGAUUAUCAAGAUUAUUCGUGGAAUAACUUUUCUAGAAUAUAUAUACAGUUCAAAGCGGCUAUGUGAUCAGUGGCUUAGUUUUCUAUUUUUGUGUUUGUUGAACUUUAGGCAGCAUAUGGUGCUUACAGCAGUUACGGAGCCAGCUAUGCACCUCCUCAAGGGCCUGCACCAGUGCCCUCGAGUGCUGGUUAUGGUGCUUAUCCUUCAACAUACCCGGCUCAGGUAAGUGGAGCGCCUUUUAUAUAUCAGCAUUUUCAUUGCUUGUCUUUCAUAUAUUACCAACUUGCAUUAUGGUUUCAGCAGGGAUACUUUAUUAACCAGUUCUAUAGUUUCGCUUGUCUUGCAUGCAUUACCAACUUGCAUUAUGGUUUCAGCAGGGAUACAUUAACCAGUUCUAUAGUUUUCAUGGUCACCUUUUUUUGGGUUAAAUAUUGUUUUCAUGCCCUUGUAUGCUAAGAAUGGUUGGUGAGAAUAAAAUUUGAUGCCCUCUAAGUUACUUAGUUUUAAGUCUGAAAAUGGUGGUGAGGCCACAAGGCUUGCUAAAUUGUAGCAUUUCAGUGUUCAAAAUUGAAUCGUUUAUUUUCCUUCUUUUAUCCUGAAAAUGUAACUAUCAAGAAGUAGUUCAUCCAUUCAUCUCUUUUAUGUUGAUUUCAUCGGUGAAAAUUACUAGGGCAUUAGACUUAGUUCUAGAAUCCAGAGUAAGACUAGAAAUUGGUGGCCUGCUGCCGGUAUCUCUUGUACAAUUAAAUAUAUGUUGGAGAAAUUGCACUUCAGACUUAAUUCACGGUUAACCCUUGUGUUUGGAAUGGUGUGACAAUGAACCUUUAUCCUCACAGAAACACACAAGUCCAAGAUCACCAAAUUGGUACAUCCAAUGGUCUAGUGUGCUUUGGGAAUACACUGUUAUUCCUGUCAAAUAUUGUUGAUAGCUCAUGUGCUUUAGUGAAAGGGCCCUCCACCUCCAACUGCGACGUUGGGGUUUGAGUCAACAAGGGAGCAAAUUAGGAAAGCCACUCUGUCCGACUCUUGUCUUUGUGAGGGUGGGGGUUAUGUACCAAUUGUUCAUUGUAAACAAUGCAUAUGAUUGUAGUGAUAGAUGAAAACGUGAUUACUUCUUAUGGUAUAUUUCUCAUACACUCAUUUUUGAUGAAGAUCUUUCCUUAGACCAGUCCAUUGGUUGGACAAUUGGUGGUUCUUGAGAAAGAUAUUGUGCAGAUAAGAACUUGUGGUUGUUGAAUUUGGCUAUUUUUGCAUUUGGUGAUUUGAUAUCUAUUUUUAGCUCCUUAAAUCUCUAUUUAGUGAUAUCUUCUUUUAAAGGUAAUGAUUGUUUUUGUUCUGCCUAGACAUUUGAUUUACAAUGUCAGAUUUGGAAUUUCUCCCGACUCUGCUUGAGGUAUUCAGCUUUUAGUAUAUGCACUUUGUGCUGUUUGUUUGUUGAAUCGGAAGAAUUGGUAUGAAAAAAUAGUGCUAAUCUGCUCUCAACAGUGAGAUGAAAUUUUAUUCAGUACAAGAUUUCACUCCCUAGUGUAAAAGGAGAGACUGGAGUGAGUACUGUCGAAAUGAUAACAGUAUAGAAGUAUGAUAAUUAAGAGUGCUCCUAGAGUUUUUCGUACUCCUCACCCGGGGUUGGGUGAGGCUAGGUAGGGCUAUCCAUAGAUGAUUUGUGUAUUGGAUUGUGUCUCCCUUAUGGUAGUUUUUGGGUGAGGCUAGGUAGGGCUAUCCGUAGAUGAUUUGUGUAUUGGAUUGUGUCUCCCUUAUGGUAGUUAUUUAUGGUACUUACUGUAUGCUAUUAUUUGCAUGCUAUUUUAUUUAUGGUUCUUAUGUUUAGAUAAUUAUUUACGCUAUUUCUGUUGNNNNNNNNNNNNNNNNNNNNNNNNNNNNNNNNNNNNNNNNNNNNNNNNNNNNNNNNNNNNNNNNNNNNNNNNNNNNNNNNNNNNNNNNNNNNNNNNNNNNNNNNNNNNNNNNNNNNNNNNNNNNNNNNNNNNNNNNNNNNAGCCUCUCUGCCCUUUCGGGUAGGGGUAAGGCUUGUCUACAUAUUACCCUCUCCAGACCCCACUUUGUGGGACUAUACUGGGUAGUUGUUGUUGUUAUUUGGCAUGCGAAUAUUAUUUCGUGUUGUCAAUAUGGGUUUCUAGUCAACUGUUAGCUAAUGAAGCCUUGUUGUAGUGGCAAGCCACAGCCCCAACAAUAUUAAGGUCUCAAUGGAAAGUCUUUCCCAAAAGUAGAAUAGUUGUCACAUUUGUCCUUAUUUCUCUCCAAUCUGCGGUGACUAUGUAAUUUGGAAUUCCUUCUGACUAUAUCUAGUCAUAAUUAUCCUUUGUAACAGAUGACUUAUAGUGCGCAAGGAAUCUUCAUGUGAAUAUCAUGCACAUCUUUUUAAUAGCUUUCAAUAAAUUCUUUAUUAUCUCAAUCAUUAAGAUAUUUUACCUUGGUAUGAGAAUAAACAAAUUUAAUUUGGGAUUGAGCAUAAUGAUUGUCAAUUAUUCUAUGAGAAUACUUGAAUUUUUAUUUGCUCACUGCAAUGAAAUUCUCUCAGUUAGUUGAAUCUUUAGAAUUACUAUUAUAAGUUCCACAAGUACAAGUUGUCCAUCAAUUCCAGUUAAGUGUGUUGGUAGGUAGAUUUGGUUGUUGUAUAAGCUUCUCAAAUUUCGUGUUGCGUUGGGGGAAAUUUAGUCCAGUGGACCAAAAUUGUAGCAGAGCGUGAAAUUUACUGAAUAUCUGCUUAGAAAUUAAUCUAUUAUGUAAAUUGGACUCCUAUGAAGUUCCCUACUUCGGAACAUUUCAGCUACAUAGCUGCUGCUAUACUGAACCGGAGUUUUUCUUUCUUUCUGGAGUCCGUGAUAUUUUUCUUGUAUUUGAACCUAUUUUUUCCCUUUUCUUUGAUCAAUAAAAUGUGUCCUUGUACAACCUCUUCUCUAGCCCCCCACCCUCCAAGGGUGCAGAAAGAGGUGUAGUAUGUUUCCAUAUUUGCUUUAUAUCGCCAUAUGUUUAUGCUACCCAAGGUGGAAGCCCUCUGGUGUUAGUUGUUUUUUGUUGCUAAGUGAACUCUGUUAUAACUGCCAGGCCUUCCCUCAGCAGAAUUAUGCACAGCCAGCCGCCGCUCCCACUUUGCCACCAGCACCACAAGCUACAACUGUUCCCCCUACAGCUUAUUAUGGCAGUUAUUAUUGAGAUGGCAAAAACUUCCACAUCAAUUUUUUGCUGGAUAUAGUUUGUAUCUUCCCGUCAACGGCCAGAAUACAUUGCAAUACCCUGAGUUCUUCCACAUGGUUGUAUUUCGAGUGAAUGAGCUGCAGGAUAGGAAAUUGAGCAAUCUAGUGAUGUCACACCUUAGGCUGAUGGGUAAUGUUGGAAAUCCGUUGUUUAUCUUCUGUUGGCUUUUUUCUAGCUAAUGUACCAUACUUUUUUGUUUUGACUAAGUGAUGUCACACCUUAGUCUGAUGGGCAAUGUUGGAAAUCCAUUGUUUAUCUUCUGUUGGCUUUUUUCUAGCUAAUGUACCAUACUUUUUAGUUUUGACAUGUUAGUUACAGGAAAAUAUGUUGCAAAAUGUUAUGUUUCCCUAUUCCAUCUCCGCCGUCUUUGUAGUAUUAUUUCUGUAUUUCCAGGGUGCAAGGAUUUUCUGCUACCCGGAGGCUGAACAUCAGUUGGAAUUCUGAGUUCUUAUUUUCAGAGGUCUUCAUUUACGGGUAUCAUGAAAAGUUGGCUCAUAAUACCUGUUAAGCAGAUGUUUCUUGCUGGUGUGGAGAGCCAUGUUGCGUUCACCGUUUGCCCUUUGUACUUGUCGGGUAGCAGCUCUAACAUAAUCGUACUGGGUAAAUUUUAAGUUCAGGCGCGGAAAAAAGGAAAAAACAG
rnacentral:lncRNA from 1 species